rnacentral:misc_RNA from 1 species
AUUGUCUUUGAUCAUCUCUCUCAGAUUCGCCUUAACUUUGUAGAAAUCAGAGUUACGGCACCGGAGGAAAUGACCUGAUGGAUUUCUGAAAGGAGGACAAGGAAAUCCUGCUUCUGCGAAGAGCUGGUUUGCUUUAGAAACUUUACCAAAGUAAACUGUCCGGAAAGCAAGUAUAAUCUGUCAAACAGCUCAAAUACUUCACAGCUUGGCUGCUGAAUUUGAGGCUGUGAU